CAGAGAGAGAGACAGAGAGAGAGAGACAGAGACAGAGAGAGAGAGAUGGGGGGAAAGAGAGCGGGAGGGAGACAAGGUGAUAAGUUCGACCUGAACAGGGUUUCUUAAACUUUUGGGGGGCUUUUCCUGAUUUCUCUUAUACUCUUAUUCAUAUUCUGUAGGUAUGUAAAUGUAGUCAUGAUUUACUCUCCUGUUUUUCCAUUUUCCACUUUCUUUCACGUACCCCCUGUGCUACCUCAAUGUACCCCACGCGCUCCCCCGGUGGAGAAACACUGCACGAGGAUAAACAUCCUCAGUGCAACAGCGCGGGCCCCAAGACACUCAACACCCCAAAACUCAGGGACCAGGUUCAUGACACACCACACAAGCAUUAAAGUGCACAGGUCCUGGCAUAGCAACGACAUGUAGUCUUAGCUGACAUUAGUAUUAGCUUAACCUUAGAUCAAUAAAUGACAUCGUUAAUCAAAAAACGACUCAUACCAUUUUUAGGAGAGACGGGGGGAGAUGGGGGAAACGGGGGUUCAUUAUGAAACAGGCUACAUUUUAGUAAGCAACAAUACAAUGUUUAUGUUUACUUUUUUUAAGUAAUGGUGAGUAUUUCAGUUCAACAUUACAUAUAUAUUUCCUAAAAUAUUUGGGACGAACAUGAUUAUUGCUGGCAUCGCGGUUGGGCCCCACCACGGCUGGGCCCCAGAAAGCUUUCCCCCUUUCCCACCUUAUGGGCGGCCCUGGUCACUACUGCCCUCUACAGACCAAAAUAUGCUAGGUGCAGUUACGUGCACGCACCACGAACAGAGACUACCCGAAAGACCUAUUUGAAAUAACUGUUAGAGAGUGUUUACAUGUGACCGAUCUACCAAGGCUGUCUGACAAUCCAUGUGUAGAGCUCCAUAGACUACAUCAAGGAUAACGGAUUUAAUUUGACACCUAUGAGGCGCGUGAUUAGCCUUUGGAUAUUUGCGUCUAUCUCAGUCUGGCUACCAACCAACUUCACACUCGCCCAGCAGGUCUGAUUCCCGCUGCAGUGAAUAGACACUACGGGACAGAUUGAGUGUUUACUGUAGGCGUCGUUAACAUCAGUGGGCUGGGAAGCAUAAAAUACGUGUGGCUUCAUGCUCUCAGGGCAGAUUUUGAGUUAUAAAUCAUUGGUGACAUAGAUAGGAGGAAGGUUACCUCCCAUCUCUAUGCUUUGCCCGCCCAGAUCAUCUGGCCCGCCCAUGAGAAACUGAGCAACCACCGUGCAAGGGAGAGUGCAAUAUCGUUUUUUCCUGGAGAGACAUCAUGGCCAACAAACAAACGAAGCAUAACAGUUGCUCGGUGCUUGGAUGUACAAAUGAAAGCACAAAUCUUUUUUUAGUUCCUUCAUCCGAGCCUCUGCACAACCAGUAUCUCAAUUUUAUUUUCGCUGGAAAUGCGCCGACACAACUUCCCAAAGUUUUGCAUGUCUGCGGCAAACAUUUCAGCGACAACUGUUUCCACAACUCGGGACAAUACAGGGCUGGCUUUGCUGGCCGUCUGCAAUUGAAGACUGGAUCACUACCAACUCUCUUGGGUCCAGCUACAAACAUCGGACAAGCCAGCACACCAAGUGCUUCCAAUCAACUGCCUCUCUCACAGGCCUGCCAGACAGACCACCUGGAAACACGUACUGUAGGCACACAGCUAUCCUUGAAGACUCUGAAGUCCCACUUUAGAAGUAUUGGUGUCCAGGCAACUGUCUCCUGCAAAGAUGUUGGUGUUGGGACGUCCAAUGCAGACCCUUUGUGCCUGUCAUCGACACUUAUAAAGAGACCACCCAAAAGACCUCGUCUAGACCUCAAUGAAGAGCUGGAGGACAUUCCAUUGGAGGGUAGCUCUUUGGUGGACGCUUCAAAGGGACAGGAUUCCACUUAUGAUCCUGCAGACUCCAUCACAACAUCGUUAGACUCGACACAAAAGGACAUCUUGUGUACAUUGUUAGAUGUCUGAUUGAUAUUCUUUUUAUUUUAUUUUUUUACAGAUGGAAAAAACUGAUGGUUGUUAAAAUUGUGACAACUUCUUUUCCAUCGGGAUAAUGCUAAUUAUAUAGCCCAAGCCCAAGAUAAUAACUUUUCAUAACAAAUUGUCUAUCUGGAGAGAGUUAGGCUUGCGAAGUGACAUGCAUUACCUCAGAAGUCUUUAAUUACACAUUGAGGUUUAAUCUCAAAGCAAUUAAACGUACACUUAAAGCAUG